UAUAUAUAUGUCUAUGAUCGUUCCACACUGAACUUUUUGACCGUUAUUAGCGGGUCAUCCGGGUACUUUCAGUGCUCUGACUUUUUGCGUUACACGAUAUACUUCAAACUAAGUGUUUGAAGUGUGCCAGUAAGAGGUUUGA